rnacentral:rRNA from 1 species
AUGAAUCUGUUAGCCUGGAACUGUCUAGGAUUGGGGUUGGACUCGACAGUUGGAGAACUCAGAAACCUGAUACGGUCCUACAACCCAGCGGUGGUUUUUCUUUGUGAAACAAAGAAGAAGGCGAGAGCAAUGGAGAAUCUGAAGUGGAGCUUGGGAUUUACGUGUGGUGUAGACGUGGACUGUGUCGGGAAGAGUGGAGGUCUUGCUUUGUGGUGGAGAGAUCACCUGCAAGUUACAAUCCGUCCAUGGUGUCAAUAUUUCAUCGAUGCAGAGGUAACUGAUGAGGGAAAGACCUAUAUAAUCACUAGAUUCUAUGGAGAACCCCGUACGGAGUUGCGAAAAAGUCCUGGGACGCAAUAA